UGAACAGUACCGCCCGCCCAGGCAACCUGGAACCAGGGUCGUGCCCUACGGCAGAAUGUGGGGGGCCUUGGGUCUGGCGCUGCGUGCUCACCCCCUCUCAGAGUGGAAGUCCUGGCUCCUGACUGCCCUGACCUUCUUCCUACCACUGGGCCCAUGAUGGGGGUCCCCAACUUUCAAGAACACAGGGGAUGCGCGUUCUCAGGAAACACGUCCCCUCGCCAGGCCCCUGGGAACAGUCACAACCACGACGCCUGUCCCCGAAGCGCCCGCGCAGCUCCACGGGAUUCCAUGUUGUCACCCACUGGAUCCUGGACGCCAUCAGCCCGCAGCAGGGUUUCCAGACCACAGAAACCGCCUGUUGGGGUGCGGGGCGUUACACGUCCCCUCGCAGCGCCCCGCUGGGCUGCUGGGCUUCUGGGCCGCCCCGCCCCCACCCCGCGCCCGGGCGCUGACGUCACUGGCCGAGCCAGACUCGGAGCCGCCGCCCGAGAGUCACGCGCGCCUCCCGGCGGGACGCGCCCUCUGCAGAGAUCCCUCCGCCGCCGCCUGGAAUUUUCCAGACGUCCUGCCGGCCCUUCUUUCGGGCCUCGUCGGGGCGUGGUGACCUGAGGCGACCCCGGCGGCUCCCGUCGCCCACUUAGGAGGGCGCCCCCGCCCGCCUCUUCCCGAGCCCCUCUCUCUGGGAAGCGCGCCCCGCCCGACCCCAACACCCAGGAAGAAAGUCUUCUUCGUCAUGGCAUCCGCCUUCCAAAUGUCACCUUGAGCGCUGUCCGCUAUCCCAAAAAGCACUGCUAAAGAGAAGCGGGGAUAAACUGGGGUCCUUGCGUCGGGGGCGCCUGGGAGACCAUGCACCGCCCGGGUCGUCUCCCCGGGCCGGGUCGGGGAGGGACUUUUUUUCCGGUGGCCGUGGAGGAAUCGUCCCGUUGAACAGUGACCCCGGUAACGCGGCCGAGGGCUAUAAAAGCAAAAGUUGUGGCCGGCCCAGCAGAAGUUAGCGAUAGGGAGGGAUGUGCACUUGCGUGUAGUUGUGGGGGAGGAAGUGACCAGUUCAGGGCCUCGGGACAGACAGGGAGAGAUGAUUUAGUUAGAUGAGACUGGGGGCCCUGGGGGUACGAGAAGGAAGCUUGACAAGGAGACUAGGUCUGAAGAAACUACAGUGGGGCAGGCUGCGUGGUGGAAAAUGCCCGCAGGAGCCCCCAGAGAGGACAGCCAUGCUCCAGGCCAGGCUGUCCCUACUGCCUGCUGGAGGGGGAACUUGACCUCUGGGAGGGAGCCGCUCUUGCAUGGCUGAGCGAGCCCCCGUGCGCUGGUCUGUGUGGAAGGAGGAAGGCAGGGAGAGGUAGAAGGGGUGGAGGAGCCACGAGGAAUGAAUGGGCCGCUGCGGCCCUGGAAACGAUCAGGAAGGCAGGCAGUGGGUGCAGGGCUGCAGAAGGGCCGGGAGGGCCGAGCUUCAACAUGUCCAUGCCAGCAGCCCCUUUUUUUCCAGACCAAGGGCUGUGAACCCGCCUGGGGAUGAGGCCUGGUCUUGUGGAACUGAACUUAGCUCGGCGGGGCUGACCGCUCUGGCCCAGGGUGGUAUGUAAUUUUCGCUCGGCCUGGGACAGGGCCCAGGCCGGGCCCAGCCUGGUGGAGCGUCCAGGUCUGGGUGCGAAGCCAGGCUCCUGGGCGGAGGUGAGGGGUGGUCUGAGGCGUGAUGUGGAGUUAAGGCGCCAUCCUCACUGGUGACUGGUGCAGCACCUAGCAUGUUUGACAGGCGGGGACUGCGAGGCACGCUGCUCGGGUGUUGGGACAACAUUGACCAACGCUUUAUUUUCCAGGUGGCAGUGCUCCUUUUGGACUUUUCUCUAGGUUUGGCGCUAAACUCUUCUGUGAGCUCACUCCACCCCUCCUCCUCCCUUUAACUUACCCAUUCACUUAAAACAUUACCUGGUCGUCUGGUAAGCCCGGGACAGUAGCCGAGUGGCUUUUGGAGUCGGUAUUGUUGGUAAUGGUGGAGAAAGAGAGGCCUUCCCGCUGAGGCUGGGGUGGGGCGGAUCGGUGUUGCUUGCCUGCAGAGAGGGUGGGGAGUGAAUGUGCACCCCUGGGUGGGCCUGCAGCCAUCCAGCUGAAAGUCACAAAAAUGCCUCAUAGACCGUGGUUUGUUACUAUAGUGUUCCUCAUGGCGAGCAGAUGGAACCGGGAGACAUGGAGCCCCUGGCCAGUGUGAGUCCUAGCAGUGCAGGAGGGGAGACCAUGGAGGAGAGAGCCCGCCUCAAUUGAUGCCUGCAGAUUGAAUUUCCAGAGGCUUAGGAGGAGGAAGUUCUCCAAUGUCGUGUGUCCAGGCCUUGCUGGGGAAGCCCUGUAUUCAGGAGGCUACCAUUUAAAGUUUUCAGAUGAGCUUAUGGGGGGCAAUCUUAAAAUAUCCACAGCAGAUGCAUCCGGCUCGAGGGGCCGUCAGCUUUGAAUAAAUGCUUGUUCCAGAGCCCAUGAAUGCCAGCAGGCACCCCUCCUUUCCUGGGGUAAAGGUUUUCAGAUGCUGCGUCUUCUAAAUUGAGCCUCCGGUCAUACUAGUUCUGUGCUUGGAACCUUGCUUCAAGAAGAUCCCUAAGCUGUAGAACAUUUUAACGUUGAUGCCACAACGCAGAUUGAUGCCUUAUAGAUGGAGCUUGCAGAUGGAGCCCCGUGACCUCUCAUCUACCCCCCCUGUUUGCCUGCCUGCCUAUGCGUUGCUCGGAGAAGUUCUUAGCCUGAUGAAAUAACUUGGGGUGUUGGAAAGCUGUUUAAUUUUAAAUGCCUUAGACGGGGGAUGUAUUAGAGGAAGCAGAUUGUCAAGAGUGUCAUUGUGUUAUGCUAAACUCUGGGAGGGUACAAAUUGGUCAUUCCCAAAUCUGUGUGUGAAAAAUGGCAGGUCUAGUUUGGGCAUUGUGAUUGCAUUGCAGAUUACUAAGAGAAGGUAAUGGUGGGUAUACCGGUAGUGCUCUUUUGUUCUUGCUUCGUUUUUUUGCACCUGAACUUCGUUAGAUUUCAUAAUGCUUUUUUGGCAUUCUAAUAAGAGGACCCUGAGGUGGGAGUUGUGGGAGACCGGGAGAAGGGGACAGCUUGGCACUGGUCACGUGGGAGUUGCAGUGUGAGGGAUGGGGGUGUGCAGCUUGGCACUGGUACUGGGAGGGAUGAAGGUGAAGAAGGAGAGAGGGUUGGUUAGGUAUGUAGUGUGGGUGGUAGGAAAUGCAGGUUGAAGGGAAAUUCUCUGGGGCUUUGGGGAGUUUUGUGCGGUGGGUGAGCCAAGAAAAUACUAAUUAAUAAUAGUAAGUGUUGGUUAAGUUCUUGCUUGGAAGUGAAAAGUUGCUUAGAAAGCUUAGAACUUUAAGUGCAAAAAAAAGAAAAGAAAAAAACCCAAAACAAUUGUUUUGCUUUGCUGCAAGGUGGGGAAGACUGAAAAAGUGUAACCGAAAACAGAUGACAGAGUCACCCGUUUUCCGAGAACCCAGAGGGAGGGGUGUAUGAUGCCAUCUCACAGGCAGGGCAAGUGUCUUUACCAGCUUCCUCCUGGUGACCAAGGCAGCCUGUUUUAGAGGGUUGUUUUGUUUGGGGUGUGGGUGUUAUCAAGUGAAUUAAUCACUAGAAGGAUGGGUGUCAGACUUGUAGACACAGCAGAUCGGCAUCCUUCACUGCCCCUUAGCAACUUAGGUGGUCAAUCUGAAGCUGUGAAGGUGUGAUUUUUCAGGAGCUGGAAGUCUUAGAAAAACCUUGUAAAUGCCUACAUUGUGGGCUUUUGACAUAUUUAAGGGACCGCUUAAGACGAGAUUAGAUGGGCUCCUCUGGGUUUGUAACUCAUUUGUCACAGAUACCUUGUGAUUGAAAAUCGUGAGUGAAGUGAAAUUGCAGUGCAUUUCAAGGGAAUUUUGUAUGUAAAUCGUGCCUUAGAAACACUUCUGUUGUCUUUUUUGUGUUUGGUCGAUAUUAAUAAUGGCAAAAUUUUUACCUACCUAGUAUCUUCAAAUCGUAGUCUUUGUAACAAGAACCAAAUAACCUUUUGUGGUCACUGUAAAAUUAAUACUUGGUAGCACACAGAAUCCAUGUACCUUUGCUAAGGUUAGAAUGAAUAAUUUAUUGUAUUUUUAGUUUGAAUGUUUGUGCUUUAUAAAUGAUCCAAGGCUAGAGGGGAAACUAUCACCUAAAAUCCAUGUGGAAAACAAGAGCUAAAAAGGAAAGGGGAUGGGGAUUGUGGGGAGGGAGUGGGUGAGGUGCCUUUACUACAUGUGUGAUCUGAAAAACUUGCUUGGUAAUGAGCUGCGGUAUUGAAUUGGUAAAGUAAUACCAAUGGCCUUUUAUCAUUUCCUUCUUCCCUUUAAAUUUCACUUAAAAUUUUUAAAAUCAUGGUUAUUUUUAUCCUUGGGAUCUUUCUGUCUUCUGGGUUCCAUAUUUUAAAUGUUUAAAAAUAUGUUGACAUGGUAGUUUAGUUCUUAACCAGUGACUUGGGGAUGAUGCAAACAUCCUGUUGUUGGGAUUUAGAGUGUAUUACUCAUGCAUGUAUGGGGAAAUAGUCUCCGGUAUGCUGUUGUGAAAUUGAAACUGUAAAAGUAGAUGGUUAAAAGUACUGGUGUGUUGCUCUGUAUGGUAAGAACUAAUUCUGUUACGUCAUGUACGUAAUUACUAAUCAUUUUUCUUCCACUUCACAGCACAAAUAAAGGUUUGAGUUCUAAACUCA